rnacentral:ncRNA from 1 species
UAAAAAAAAUUUUAUGAUUUGAAAAAUUUAUUAAAAAUUUAUUUUACAUAUAAAUUUUUGUAUUUAUUAUAAUAAUUUUAAUAAUUUUUAUUAAUUUAAAGUAGUAAUUAAAAUUAAAUAUAUUUAAGAAAUUAAGAUUUAGUAAUAUAAAAAUUAUUAACAAAUUUUGUGCCAGCAGUUGCGGUUACACAAAAGAUAAAUUAAAUUUUUUUAGUUUAUAAUAAGUAAAAAUUUUUAAUUUAAAUAAUAAAUUAUAAAGUGAAAUUUUAAUUUAUUAAAAAAUUAUUUAAAAUUUUAUUAUUUAAUAAAUUUUAAAUAAAAACUAGGAUUAGAUACCCUAUUAUUAAAAAUUAAAUUUUUUACUAAAAUAGUAAAUUUAUAUUUAUUGAAACUUAAAUAAUAUGGCGGUAUUUUAGUUUAUUUAGAGGAAUCUGUUUAAUAAUUGAUAAUCCACGAAUAAAUUUACUUAAUAUAAAAGUUUGUAUAUCGUUGUUAAAAAAAUAUUUUUUUAAAAAAGUAAUAUUUUAAAAUUUAAAUAAAAAAUUAAAUCAGAUCAAGAUGCAGUUUAUUAUUAAGAAUAUAAUGGAUUACAAUAAAAUAAUUUUUGGAUAAUAAUUUGGAAUAAUUAUUUAAAAUUGGAUUUAAAUGUAAUUUUAAUUAAUUUGUUAAAAUGAUUAAAAAUUAAAAUAUGUACAUAUUGCCCGUCACUUUCAUUUAAAAAUUGGAAUAAGUCGUAACAAAGUAGAGGUACUGGAAAGUGUUUCUAGAAAGAU